rnacentral:rRNA from 1 species
GACAGAGGGUGCAACCGUUGUUCGGAAUUACUGGGCGUAAAGCGUGUGUAGGCGGUCUCAUAAGUCGGGUGUGAAAGCCCAGGGCUCAACCCUGGAAGUGCACUCGAAACUGCGAGGCUUGAGUACCGGAGAGGUUGGUGGAAUUCUCGGUGUAGAGGUGAAAUUCGUAGAUAUCGAGAGGAACACCGGUGGCGAAGGCGGCUUUCUGGCCUGUUCUUGACGCUGAGGCGCGAAAGCUAGGGGAGCGAACGGG